rnacentral:lncRNA from 1 species
UAGGUAGUACAGACUGGACAUAAUUGGCAGAGGAAGAAAGAGGAGAAGGAAUAGAAUCAAACCAGAGAGAGAGGACCCAUACUGGCUUAAAAAGCUAAUUUUGUCAAAGUAUCUUGAAGCUGUAUUUACUUCAGUGUUGAUCCACAAGCACUCUCUCAGCCUCCAGAUAGUGAUGCUGGCUAUGGCUUUGUGAGUAAAAGCAACUGAACGAGAAAUCUGUUCUGGUUCUAAAUAUGAAUCAAAGUGGCAAGACCCAGACCAUCUUAUCUAUUUAAAUGGAAGAUUGUUUUGAAAGAUUUUGCUUUUAGUUUGAGACUUAACCUCAAAGAAACAGAAUUAAUAGAAGAAGGAAAUGAUCCUGGGAGAUCCUCAAUGCAGUAAUGAAUUCAACAUUCUUCAAUCGAAUUUAAAAUUUAAUUAUAGCCUACUUACCUGUGGUGACUCUGGAUUCUGUAUAACUGAUUUGUUGUCACAGGAGAGAGUCAUGCAAACUACAGAAAUCCACCCAAAACCUAGAGAAGGAGAAUAUCUGUUUUCAGAGGAGCUGUCUGCUUUGGGGGGAAGUUCCAGAAGCAAGCCUCAGGAAUUACAACAUUAUGAGAAACUGAAUGAUUAAAAUUGUAGUUACAAAUA